GGACAUGCUUGAUGUGAGGCCUGGUGAGGCUCUGGCAGUAAACUUCCCUUUGACACUUCACCACACACCUGAUGAGAGCGUUGACGUGACUAAUCCAAGGGAUGAGCUUCUAAGGAUGGUGAAGUCAUUUUCUCCAAAGGUGGUCACGUUGGUGGAACAAGAAUCAAACACAAACACCGCCCCCUUUUUCCCUCGAUUUCAAGAAGCUCUAGACUACUAUUCUGCAAUGUUCGAGUCCAUAGAUGUGACAUUAGAAAGGGACAGGAAGGAAAGAAUCAACGUGGAGCAGCAUUGUUUGGCAAGGGAUAUAGUUAACGUCAUAGCAUGUGAGGGCAUGGAAAGAGUGGAACGCCACGAGCUAUUAGGGAAAUGGAAAUUGAGGUUCACAAUGGCAGGGUUCCACCAGUAUCCUCUGAGCUCUUACGUGAAUUCAGUGAUAAAGAGCCUCAUGAGGUGCUACUCAGA
rnacentral:misc_RNA from 1 species